rnacentral:rRNA from 1 species
UACAGAGGGGGCAAGCGUUGUUCGGAAUUACUGGGCGUAAAGGGCGCGUAGGCGGCCUUCUAAGUCGAACGUGAAAUCCCCGGGCUCAACCCGGGAACUGCGUCCGAUACUGGAAGGCUUGAAUCCGGGAGAGGGAUGCGGAAUUCCAGGUGUAGCGGUGAAAUGCGUAGAUAUCUGGAGGAACACCGGUGGCGAAGGCGGCAUCCUGGACCGGCAUUGACGCUGAGGCGCGAAGGCCAGGGGAGCAAACGGG